UGCAAAAAGACAUCCUGUCAAUAGGAAGGCAGUACGGAGUUCAGAUCAUUCAGGAUCAACAACUCCAUCAUCUGGUCAAGAAACCUUGUCUUUAGCUGCGGGUUCUUCCUCAGAAGGAUUGAGGCGGCGUACCCUUCCACAAGCACAAACUGACCAAGCACAGAGUCAUCAGUUUCCAUAUGUAAUGCAAGGAAAUGUAGACAACCAAUUUCCUGGGCAAGCUGCUCCACCUGGAUUCCCAGUGUAUCCAGCAUUUAGCCCACUGCAGAUGCUGUGGUGGCAACAGAUGUAUGCUCAUCAAUAUUAUAUGCAGUAUCAAGCUGCAGUUUCAGCUCAGGCCACAUCAAAUGUCAACCCAACCCAGCCUACUACUUCACAGCCUCUAAAUUUGGCACAUGUUCCUGGAGAAGAACCCCCACCAGCUCCAAACCUAGUGGCCCAAGAAAAUCGACCCAUGAAUGAGAAUGUUCAAAUGAAUGCACAGGGAGGUCCAGUACUAAAUGAAGAAGACUUCAAUCGAGACUGGCUAGACUGGAUGUACACGUUCUCACGAGCUGCGAUUCUCCUUAGCAUUGUAUACUUCUAUUCUUCUUUUAGUCGGUUUAUCAUGGUAAUGGGAGCCAUGCUACUGGUUUAUUUACACCAAGCUGGAUGGUUUCCUUUUAGGCAAGAAGGAGGUCAUCAGCAGGCUCCCAACAAUAAUGCCGAAGUUAACAAUGAUGGGCAAAAUGCAAACAACUUGGAACUUGAAGAAAUG
rnacentral:sRNA from 1 species